AACUUCCUUCUGCAAAGAUGUUCAAGUAUAUGAAGUUUUUCUGCAGCAAUGCCUAAAUCUACGCCGAGAUUAAAUUUUAGGAAAUCGACUAUUUUACAUGACUUUUCUGCAGCAAUGUCAAACUUCCUUUUACUUUCGCAUGUCAAGAUUGUAUAGACUAAUCUUUACUCUUCCCCUUACCUGGAAUGGGUUGAUUUAGUGUUGGUUUUGUAAUGAUCUUAUGGCACUUCCUACUCAUGUUAUUUGUUAUAUUUUGUGAUUUGAGAGGUGAGGUGAGCCAUGUCUUGCAUGAAUGUUUCCAUUUUUAACAUAAAUGAACAAUUUUCCUCCAUUGCUUGGGUGUAUAAGGUGAGAGUAUGUGGUUCGGUACUGAGUAUUCCCUCACUUUUGUUACUGUGGGAUGGUUACAAACACGUAAAAUUCUUUCAUCCAGAAAGCCAGCAUUUUACUAUUAGUUAAAUAAAUUUUUUAAAUGAAAUAUGCUUAUAUUUUGUAUGGAUUUUUUUUUUUUUGAUUGAAAUACCUAAUAGUGGAUUUAAGCGAAUGUUAGGGGCGUUAUAAUAACUUCUCAAAAAAAAAAAAAAAAAAAAAAAUUCCCAGCAGUUUUUCUUUCCUGCAGAGCGCCCUAGUUGGUGAAAGACUAUUGCAAAUGCAGCAAUUUGAACUGUCUGUAUUAAUAAUCUUAGCUUAGACAUUCAAUUUACUGUAUGAGCCUUUUUAUUACAUGCAUCUGAAUGAUGCUAGGUGGAGUUACAUAUUCUCGUCCCAGUAUUUUGCCCUGCUACCAUGUCAGCAAACUACUCCCGUUGUGCAAGCAAAGACUAACUAAGAAUAUAGGAGACCAUAUUACACAUGCAUCAACUUGUAGCUGAUGUUAUAUUUUGGGCAUAUGAAUUAAUCGUUAAUAAAACUUCAUGUUGAUUUCUAACUUUGACUCAGGUGGGAGUAUUCAUGAGAUUAUGGAAGGAAGCAAAUUACUAAAUUACUACUUAAACCCUCAUUUGAUACAAUCCCAGGAAUGAGUGCUGAGCGGAGGUUAGAAUUGAGUUUUCCUUGAACUUGCUUUUAUACGAGAAAAUUAGGGUCAAACUUCCUUCUGCAAAGAUGUUCAAGUAUAUGAAGUUUUUCUGCAGCAAUGCCUAAAUCUACGCCGAGAUUAAAUUUUAGGAAAUCGACUAUUUUACAUGACUUUUCUGCAGCAAUGUCAAACUUCCUUUUACUUUCGCAUGUCAAGAUUGUAUAGACUAAUCUUUACUCUUCCCCUUACCUGGAAUGGGUUGAUUUAGUGUUGGUUUUGUAAUGAUCUUAUGGCACUUCCUACUCAUGUUAUUUGUUAUAUUUUGUGAUUUGAGAGGUGAGGUGAGCCAUGUCUUGCAUGAAUGUUUCCAUUUUUAACAUAAAUGAACAAUUUUCCUCCAUUGCUUGGGUGUAUAAGGUGAGAGUAUGUGGUUCGGUACUGAGUAUUCCCUCACUUUUGUUACUGUGGGAUGGUUACAAACACGUAAAAUUC
rnacentral:lncRNA from 1 species